CUCUAUCUCCCUCUGUCUCUCCCUUUUUCUCUUUUUCUUCCGCUAUACAUACUGUCCAGUUAUUUUUCGCAAGAAAUUUUAGAUCACAAUAGUUACAUAUUUACAACUGCGUAAGAAAAUAAUUCGACGACGUCUUUAACCACCUAAAUAUAUUUGUUUUACGGAACGAAACUACCGGUUCGGCACCAGAUGGGUUAAAACACAUGCCACUCGAAUACGCCAUAUGACUCACGCACGAGUGACAGAAUUUUUUUGAUUACCUGAUAUGUAACAUCCCUGUCUACACAAAAAUUAACACUGAUAUUGCAAUGAGGCAUUUAUGCUUUUAUUGUAACGCAUGGGAACAAAGUUUGCAAGUACCUUAUGUUACUACCGGAAGUUUUGUACACUAGCUAAUAAUUAUGGAAGCAAUUUUUAUAAGUGUUGACACGUAUGACUGUUCGAUAUCUGUCCCUAAAAUGCAAACGCACCAUACGAAUGUACAAACUGGAAUGAAAGGGGAAAAACUGAGGCAUGGAGAAAGGGCGACCUACACCUGCACCUACUUCGUACAGCAAUUUAUUAUUCAAAAGUGUUAUUCUACGGGAAAUAAACAUUCGUUGAAUUUCA